rnacentral:rRNA from 1 species
GACGAACCGAGCGAACGUUGUUCGGAAUCACUGGGCUUAAAGGGCGCGUAGGCGGGUAUUCAAGUCUGUGGUGAAAUCCGGCAGCUUAACUGUCGCAGUGCCUUUGAUACUGUGGAGCUAGAGGGAGGUAGGGGUCUGUGGAACUUCCGGUGGAGCGGUGAAAUGCGUUGAUAUCGGAAGGAACGCCGGUGGCGAAAGCGACGGACUGGAUCUCUUCUGACGCUGAGGCGCGAAAGCCAGGGGAGCAAACGGG